GCGUUUUCGAUGUUACCCGCUCGGCUCUCCUGUUCUUGGGGUCAAACUCUUGGCUUUCUUCUCAAGAACUCAUCUUCUUCUCCGUGGUACUGGUUAGCCAAGGGUUUAGGGUGGCACCCCUCGCUUACUAAGCGUACGGCUCCUUUUCUCGUUCUUCUUCUUCUUCUUCUUCUUGUUCUUCCAGGUGGGUAUUGGCCGUGAUGUUGUUCUUCUCUCUUUCUCUCUUCCUUCUUUUCUUUCUUCUAUCUUGCUUUUGUUCUUAAUUCUUUUUUGCCUCUAAGUAGCGUUGCUUUUAGGUUUAUAUGAAGAGGCGGUGAGGAUUUCUAUACGAGGGUUUGCCACAUUAUGAAUCAGACAGAGAUCGCCUAUUUUAAACGGCAAGGCGAUCUUGGAUGGUUUGCUGCCGUUGUGCAGGCAACGGAUUUGCAGCAGUUUUGAUUUAGUCGCAGAUAGUCUUCAGACUAUUAAUAAAAUACUGGAUUAAACGGUCAAUCUCAGCCUCCUCUUAGUUUCCCUUGAUUUUCCGAUUUCUGUCGGUCUCUUUCUUUUUCAAGAUUUUGUUAUUCCAAGGUUUGUUUAAUUUCGUUGAGGUACUUAAUUUAUUCACAUGAGUUGUUCCUGUGGUUUCUCAAGAAUUCAUAGGAUUUGGACGCCGAUGAAAGCCUGGGGGUAGGGAUUGCAUCAGUAGCGGCUGGGGUUUGGAGAACCCAAAUGCUCUAGUUUUUUGUUUUAGUAAUUGAAACUUAGGGUUUGUUUGCAUGGUAUUAGGGUUUAUCCCAUUUUAACGGUUUUGAAUCUACUUCCUUCCAACCACUUGUUCUUGUUUGAUUGACUCUAUUUUUCUUUCUUUUCUUUUCUUUCUUUUUUUUUAAGGUUUUGAAUAGAUUCCCCCUUAAGUACUCCUUACGCUUUUCCUUCCCCUUUUUUAGCAAUGAUAUCACCAGAGGCAACUUGACAAAUUUCCAUUGUUAUCCUUCAGACAAACUCUACGUUCUUGUACACGUUCCUGUACCUACCCGGUUCCGUAAGGUAGUUUCUCUACUGCUCCUCUGCUAACGUUGCCUUUCCAGGGUCUACAAGGGUUUGCAACAGAUUCAAGGAUUAUCUUGUUAUAGCCGAUUUUUUGAGACUCCUUAAUGCAGGUGUUGCGGGAUCUCGCAUAGAAACCUACCUGGAGUGGGUAUUGGAUAAGGUGGUGGUGUAUCAAGAGCUGGUGCAUAAAUUUUUAUGCAACCUGUUCAGAUUUGAGGUGUGGCAUGGGAUGGAGGAAGAUUUUGAUGGCGGACGGUGGAGGGGGUUUUUAGCAGUAGGGAAGAUGAGCAUGUGGAGAUGAGGCACAUGUGAAAGAUGAUGAAAUUGACACCAAAGCAGCGUUAGGCUCCAGAAAAAUCAACUAAAAAGUUAAGGAUGGUCCCGCAACUGUGGAAAGCAACAUACAAGAAUUAUCAACGUCUCUACAUUUGUGAGUUGUCAAGUUGCACCCUUUCAGAUUACAAGGCUGAGUUCUCGUUAUCGAGCUCUUUGCACCGUGCAGGUGUAACCUUAAGUUUCAGUUUAUUCAGCUAGUUCAGCUUCUAAGAACUUUCUUUACGUGAAUUUCAGUACUUUACACUGAUGUUAAUUCUGCAGAGAGGCAAAAUAUUCUCAGUGAUAGAUACACCCUUAUCAGGUUCUGCUGCAAGAUCAAGAUUUAUUUUAUUUUUUUGGCUCUUAGGUCAUACUCCGAAUUAUGUUUUACUUUGAGUCCCAAGAUAUAUCAUACUUUUUUCCCCUUUUUGUUAGUAUAUGACAUUCUUUCUUUUUGGAAAAAAAUAUCUGCUUUCGGUGUAGAGAUACGAGUGAGAAAUUUUCGUUCAUCUUUAUUUCUCCUCCUGCCCUUGAGCACACCUUCCUUUUUAUUGUAGUCUUUAUGUGUAUUGUAAGGGCAAAUAAAAGUAUGAUACACAAACUGGUCUUUUCAUUGUCUUGUUCAAGAUUAAUUGCAGAGUUUAAUGCCAGAAAUUGUUGCAUAAAACAAUGCCUGAUGAAUAUAAAUGUUUUGAACUAAAGUUUAGUGGUGA